AGUGCUUCUAGCUUCAUAGCUAUGAUCAAAAGUGUAAGAACUGUUCUUCUCAGUUUAAUCGCUGGGACAAAGUUCAUUGAUCUUAAUUCGAGAUUAAAUUGAUUUUUGUAACUUUACAGACACUCCAAGGCUUGCCAAGCUCUGUCGUAGUGGACCUUACAUUGCAUUACAGUUUGGUCUGCUUGUUUAA
rnacentral:snRNA from 1 species